rnacentral:rRNA from 1 species
GACGGGCCCGCACAAGCAGCGGAGCGUGUGGUUUAAUUCGAUGUUACACGAAGAACCUUACCAGGGUUUGACAUGCAAGUGGUAGGAAGCCGAAAGGUGACCGACCCUUCGGGGAGCUUGCACAGGUGCUGCAUGGCUGUCGUCAGCUCGUGUCGUGAGAUGUUCGGUUAAGUCCGCUAACGAGCGCAACCCUCGCUGUGUGUUAUAUGUGUCGCACGGGGACUGCCGGUCUUAAAGGCCGGAGGAAGGUGGGGAUGAUGUCAAGUCAGCAUGGCCUUUAUAUCCUGGGCUACACACACGCUACAAUGGCCAACACAAUAGGUUGCUAAGCCGCGAGGUGGCGCCAAUCCAUAAAGUUGGUCUCAGUUCAGAUUGUAGGCUGCAACCCGCCUGCAUGAAGAUGGAGUUGCUAGUAACCGCAGGUCAGCUAUACUGCGGUGAAUACGUUCCCGGGUCUU